rnacentral:tRNA from 1 species
GUUGUAGCUCAGUGGUAGAGCACAUGUCUAGCACAUGUGAGGCACUGGGUUCAAUACUCUGUACCACA